rnacentral:rRNA from 1 species
UGGAGCAAGCGUUAUCCGGAUUUACUGGGUGUAAAGGGAGCGUAGGCGGCCAGACAAGUCUGAUGUGAAAGGCUGGGGCUCAACCCCAGGACUGCAUUGGAAACUGUGAGGCUAGAGUGUCGGAGAGGCAGGCGGAAUUCUUAGUGUAGCGGUGAAAUGCGUAGAUAUUAGGAAGAACACCAGUGGCGAAGGCGGCCUGCUGGACGAUGACUGACGCUGAGGCUCGAAAGCGUGGGGAGCAAA